rnacentral:misc_RNA from 1 species
CUUCCCGAUGGCCGCCGCCGCCGCCGCCGACGAAGCCAAAGCUAAGGGCAACGCCGCCUUCUCCGCCGGCAACUUCUCCGACGCGAUCCGGCACUUCUCCGCUGCCAUCGACCUCGCCCCCACCAACCACGUCCUCUUCUCCAACCGCUCCGCCGCCCACGCCUCCCUCGGCAACUUCUCCGACGCCCUCUCCGACGCCCUCCGUACCGUGGAGCUCAAGCCCGACUGGUCCAAGGGCUACUCCCGCCUCGGCGCCGCCCACCUCGGCCUCGGCGACGCCGCCGCCGCCGCCGAAGCCUACUCGAAGGGGCUCGAGCUUGAUCCGUCGAAUGAAGUUCUCAAGGCUGGUCUUGCCGACGCCCGCAAAGCGGCAUCCGCCGCCUCCCGCUCUGCCGGCUCCGGCGGCGCUAACCCGUUCGGCCAGAUGUUCAGCGAUCCGACCCUCUGGGCCAAGCUGACGGCUAAUCCUACUACCCGAGACUACCUCAAGCAGCCGGACUUUGUCCAGAUGAUCCGGGAGGUGCAGCGAAACCCUAGCAGCAUGAACUUGUACUUGACUGAUCAGCGCAUGAUGGCGGUGCUUGGUGUUCUGCUCAAUGUGAAUAUUAGCACCAAGGAUCCAAGCGAGAUGGAGAGGGAUUUCCCGGAGGUGCCACCGGUUAAGCCGGAGGUGAAGCCAGAGGAGGUGAAGAAG